rnacentral:rRNA from 1 species
AUGGUGCUGGUGAAGAUGUUAAUGGAGAUUGACCCCCUCUCGAUGAGAGGAUCAUUGGUGAUGAUUUCCCCCUCCCGGAGGGAAGUGUCCCCGGCAACGGUGCCAGAAAAGAGUCUUGAUGAGAGGAUCGUUGGUGAUGACGUUGGUGAUGAUUUCCCCCUCCCGGAGGGAAGUGUCCCCAGCAGAAUAGCUCCGCCAGAGCCGUCGAUUGAUUCCGCCAAGGUUCCGCCUCGUGGCGGCGAAGUUUCGUACUGUAAGCUUGCCCACGAUUUUUUCCAGGGGAAGGGUGAUGAUAUAGCAGAAGAUGGAUGCCGGAGGCCCACCAGGGGGCCCAGGAGAUAG